AAACUGAAGAGUUUGAUCCUGGCUCAGAUUGAACGCUGGCGGCAUGCCUUACACAUGCAAGUCGAACGGCAGCACGGGUGCUUGCACCUGGUGGCGAGUGGCGAACGGGUGAGUAAUACAUCGGAACAUGUCCUGUAGUGGGGGAUAGCCCGGCGAAAGCCGGAUUAAUACCGCAUACGAUCUACGGAUGAAAGCGGGGGACCUUCGGGCCUCGCGCUAUAGGGUUGGCCGAUGGCUGAUUAGCUAGUUGGUGGGGUAAAGGCCUACCAAGGCGACGAUCAGUAGCUGGUCUGAGAGGACGACCAGCCACACUGGGACUGAGACACGGCCCAGACUCCUACGGGAGGCAGCAGUGGGGAAUUUUGGACAAUGGGCGAAAGCCUGAUCCAGCAAUGCCGCGUGUGUGAAGAAGGCCUUCGGGUUGUAAAGCACUUUUGUCCGGAAAGAAAUCCUUGACUCUAAUACAGUCGGGGGAUGACGGUACCGGAAGAAUAAGCACCGGCUAACUACGUGCCAGCAGCCGCGGUAAUACGUAGGGUGCGAGCGUUAAUCGGAAUUACUGGGCGUAAAGCGUGCGCAGGCG
rnacentral:rRNA from 1 species